AAAGAUUUUUUUUUCGUUACGAGACUGUAUGGUUGCUAAAUGUAAAAUUUUUUCACGUUUAUUUACAGGAAAUCUAGCCUGUAAUUUCCUAUCUGUCAAAUCACCUUAUCAAUUAUCACGUGGCCUGAAACUGAUGUCGUUGCUUGUUACUUGUACCGGUUGUAUGUUAAUGUAUCAACCAAUGAAGAAACACUUGACGGCAAAACAUAGGAGCAUGAACUGCAGCCAGUUGGUGGAAGGUAGUCAGCUGUUGUAUUCAGUUUGUGAGGCCGAGGCAUCCCAAUGCAGAAACAAGAAAUGAUUCACAAAAAGGUGUGUAAAAUUGUGUCCACCAGAUGGCGGAGUGUGUUUUCGUGAGUGACGAAGCCGCCAUUUGCUGUUGACUGUUGAGACAGUGUACGGGAAUGUGCUGCUGCUGCUGAUUAAUGAGGAUGUUCUUCGCUUUUACAUUUUUAAAAAAUCUUUCUACGCCUUUCGACCAAGCUGAAUCGAAAGUGAAUAAUUCUAAAGCAACAUGGCGGAGAUCUUGCCUUUCUCAACGUGCGGUGCCGUGUCAACAAGAUGUCUCUUUGAUGAGGUUGCAGAACAGAAAUGUGAAGAAAACAGGAAAUCUGAAAUGGUAAUGAUUUACUUAUAAGAUAGAUCAAGUGGGUUAGCAUUUUGCUUAAACUUUUGUCUACGUGUGUGUGGUACCUAUGCUUUUCUUCUUGGUUUAGAAUUUACUUAAGUUUAUCAUUUGAUUUAGAUUAAAUUUGACUACUUCCUGCUUCUAAAUAAGACAGCUUUUAUGAAAAGAACAUAAGCUUGUGAAGAAUUGUAAAUUUUUUGAUCAAACAGAACAGAAAUUCCCUUCAUUCUUAAAAUAUUAAAAUGAAAUCUUAUUUAGUCAUGUUCUUGAUUUAUUUUUCUCUUGUUCAAUGUAAAUUUGAAGAAAAUCUUUGCCUUAAUUACUAAGCGUUUGAAACAUUUAUUAUACGAUUGUAAGCUAAAGAUAAAUAUCACUUGCAUUUUUUGUUUUGCUCUCUAAAUUUUAUUUUCUGGUAUCUUUAAUCACAGAGUUGAUGUUCAGACAAAUUGAAACUGGUCUAGAUCUACAUCACAGAGUUGAUGUUCAGACAAAUUGAAACUUGUCUAGAUUUACAUUCUAGAUUGAUUUUAUCUGAAUAUACAAGAAAGAGAAUAGAGGCAACAAUAUCAAAUGAUAAUAGACAAACUUUUGCAGAGAUCAAAUGAAAAAAUAUUUUUAUAGAUCAAAAGCUAGCAUAAAUCAAAGGAGUAGUCAAAACGUGUAGAUUUGAUGAAAAAUACAGGGGUUACAAACCAGUCGUCAAUAUUGAGAAGAGCUUGUUUCUUUGCAUAAAAAAAACCCCCGUGCAGUCACACAUUAUUAUAUAGGUACAUCAGUUGGCUGGGCGGGCAACAUAACAAAAGGACGGUGAAUUUAACAAAAAAAAAUAUCCCAACUGUUAAAAUCGUCACGUAACGU
rnacentral:misc_RNA from 1 species